AAACUUAAGAGUUUGAUUCUGGCUCAGGAUGAACGCUGGCGGCGUGCUUAACACAUGCAAGUCGAAUGUAGUU
rnacentral:rRNA from 1 species